rnacentral:rRNA from 1 species
AGCGCACCCCUAUCCUUAUUUGCCAGCGCAUAAUGGCGGGAACUAUAAGGAGACUGCCGGUCAUAAACCGGAGGAAGGCGGGGACGACGUCAAGUCAUCAUGGCCCUUAUGGGUAGGGCUACACACGUGAUACAAUGGGUGGUACAGAGGGUCGCCAAAGCGCGAGCUGGAGCCAAACCCUUAAAACCAUUCUUAGUCCGGAUUGGAGUCUGCAACUCGACUCCACGAAGUCGGAAUCGCUAGUAAUCGCGAAUCAGAAUGUCGCGGUGAAUACGUUCUCGGGCCUUGUACACACCGCCCGUCACGUCAUGGAAGUGGGUUGCACCAGAAGUGGCUUGUUUAACCUUCGGGAAAACGGUCACCACGGUGUGAUUCACAACUGGGACGAAGUCGUAACAAGGUAGCCCUAGGGGAACCUGGGGCUGGAUCA